GAAUGUGAGGGUGAUCUGGCUUUGACAUCUGUCAUCCUAUUGAUCUCCAGGGUUGCAGGUCAUCUGGCUGGCUAGGAGGGUGUCCCUUUCCUCCCUCAUUGCUCCAUGUGCCUCUCUUGGGAAGGUGCACGCUUGGUCAAAGAGAACAACCUUCCUGAAUAGAGCAGGACAGGUCUUUGGUCAAGGGUAUAUGAGUAGCUGUGAUCCCCUGAUAGAACCUCCAAACAAACUCUCAAGAAAAUACUCUGAAUUUACUGAAUGUACAAUUAUACGGAGCACUGUUUGAGUAUAAUUAAUAUAACNUUAGAAUAGAAUGCUUCACUCAGGUUGAAGGGAGGCCUUUC
rnacentral:snRNA from 1 species